rnacentral:rRNA from 1 species
GACGAACGCUGGCGGCGUGCUUAACACAUGCAAGUCGAACGGAAAGGCCCUUCGGGGUACUCGAGUGGCGAACGGGCGAGUAACACGUGGGUGAUCUGCCCUGCACUUUGGGAUAAGCCUGGGAAACUGGGUCUAAUACCGAAUAGGACCACGCGCUUCAUGGUGUGUGGUGGAAAGCUUUUGCGGUGUUGGAUGGGCCCGCGGCCUAUCAGCUUGUUGGUGGGGUAAUGGCCUACCAAGGCGACGACGGGUAGCCGGCCUGAGAGGGUGACCGGCCACACUGGGACUGAGAUACGGCCCAGACUCCUACGGGAGGCAGCAGUGGGGAAUAUUGCACAAUGGGCGCAAGCCUGAUGCAGCGACGCCGCGUGAGGGAUGACGGCCUUCGGGUUGUAAACCUCUUUCAAUAGGGACGAAGCGCAAGUGACGGUACCUAUAGAAGAAGCACCGGCCAACUACGUG